AGAGCGAACGCUGGCGGCAGGCCUAACACAUGCAAGUCGAACGGACCCUUCGGGGUUAGUGGCGGACGGGUGAGUAACACGUGGGAACGUGCCUUUUGGUUCGGAAUAGCUCCUGGAAACGGGUGGUAAUGCCGAAUGUGCCCUUCGGGGGAAAGAUUUAUCGCCAUUAGAGCGGCCCGCGUCUGAUUAGCUAGUUGGUGAGGUAAAGGCUCACCAAGGCUACGAUCAGUAGCUGGUCUGAGAGGAUGACCAGCCACAUUGGGACUGAGACACGGCCCAAACUCCUACGGGAGGCAGCAGUGGGGAAUCUUGCGCAAUGGGCGAAAGCCUGACGCAGCCAUGCCGCGUGAAUGAUGAAGGUCUUAGGAUUGUAAAAUUCUUUCACCGGGGACGAUAAUGACGGUACCCGGAGAAGAAGCCCGGCUAACUUCGUGCCAGCAGCCGC
rnacentral:rRNA from 1 species